UAGGAUGUCGCCGAAACUCGUUGAUACAUUUGUACAAUUUUAUGACCUUUGUGCAGCUGCUAUUUAUGGGGGCGGGGUGUGGUUGUGGGCGGUACUUUUAUAUGAUAUAGUCCGUGUAACUGAUUAACAACAACUGUUCUCCUGAUAGCUCUAUAAUCUGUUACCUGUACCUGAUCCUGGUCUCUCUUCGGACAGUGUGCCCAGUCCAUCCCUGUGUGUAUGACCUUGUUACUGUCUCUGUACUGUGUCCAUGACCCUGCAACUGCCUCGGCGACCAGUGCCUUCUCUAGUUACCCUAUGCUGCACCAUCUAUAUAUCUGACAUUGCUCACUGUGCUUUUUUCUCUGGUCUGUGCUCCUGUUUCCUGGAUUUUUGCCCUCUUAUCCUUUGCUCAAUUGUCACCUAGCAUCCUCUGCUCGCCUGUCUCUUUGCAUCCUCUGCUCACCUGUCUCUUUGCAUCCUCUGCUCACCUGUCUCUUUGCAUCCUCUGCUCGCCUGUCUCUUUGCACCCUCUGCUCGCCUGUCUCUUUGCACUCUCUGCUCGCCUGUCUCUUUGCAUCCUCUGCUCACCUGUCUCUUUGCAUCCUCUGCUCGCCUGUCUCUUUGCACCCUCUGCUCGCCUGUCUCUUUGCACUCUCUGCUCGCCUGUCUCUUUGCAUCCUCUGCUCACCUGUCUCUUUGCAUCCUCUGCUCACCUGUCUCUUUGCAUCCUCUGCUCACCUGUCUCUUUGCAUCCUCUGCUCGCCUGUCUCUUUGCAUCCUCUGCUCACCUGUCUCUUUGCAUCCUCUGCUCACCUGUCUCUUUGCAUCCUCUGCUCACCUGUCUCUUUGCAUCCUCUGCUCACCUGUCUCUUUGCAUCCUCUGCUCACCUGUCUCUUUGCAUCCUCUGCUCACCUGUCUCUUUGCAUCCUCUGCUCGCCUGUCUCUUUGCAUCCUCUGCUCGCCUGUCUCUUUGCAUCCUCUGCUCGUCUGUCUCUUUGCAUCCUCUGCUCGUCUGUCUCUUUGCAUCCUCUGAUCACCUGUCUCUUUGCACUCACUGCUCGCCUGUCUCUUUGCACUCUCUGCUCGCCUGUCUCUUUGCAGCCUCUGCUCGCCUCUCCCUGGGCAUUCUCAUCUUUUGUUUUGUGUCUCCUGGCAUCCUACUUUUCCACUGUUCUGACACAUCUAAUGUCCUGUACCCAGGGCUCCUGUACACUGUAGUGCCAUCUUUUGGCUCUUGACCUGUGUUGUGCUAUUUUGAGCCUUUAGUUUUACCUUUUGCCCUGUGUGAUAUCCAGAACCCAGGUGGUUUUUACCUUUCCCCACAAUGUCACUGACUUUGGUCCUUGAUCGUCAUCUUGUGCUCCCUGCUGUGGGGUGUACAGUGUCACUCCUUCUUCUGUUGCGCUGGCUGCGGAACAGGCGAUUGCAUCGUCUCAUGAAAGAGGUUCGGGAUCGUAGGGAGCAGGCACUAAGCAAUAUGGAGGUGGCAGUGAGGAGGUUAUCUUCAGAGAAUCCAGUUGCAGACCCCGGAGCUCUCUUGUCUCUGUCUCUCUCAGAGCUCUCUAAUAAACUGAACGAUGGAUCUCUCUCACCUGAGAUGGUGCUUCACGUUUACAUGAAGAGGGCUUUGGACACAACACGUGAGCUGAACUGUUUGACGGAUUACCUGUGUGAGUGUGAGGCUCAGCUUAAGGAGGUCAAUAAGCAGAAGAUGAAGGGUCUGCUGUAUGGUGUUCCGAUCAGCUUGAAGGACAACUUUAACUACAAGGGACAUGAGUCUACUUUGGGUCUAAUUAAGAACCUGAACCGUCCGGCCUCUGAAGACUGUGUGAUUGUGCAGGUCCUAAAGAAACAAGGAGCAAUCCCAUUUGUGAAAACCAACAUCCCUCAGUCCAUGUUAAACUAUGACUGCAGUAAUCUUAUCUUUGGACGGACACUAAAUCCUCUUAACCACAAGAAGACGCCUGGAGGAUCCUCUGGAGGGGAAGGUGCUCUCAUUUCAGCUGGGGGGUCCAUUUUGGGCUUUGGCUCAGAUAUCGGGGGAAGUAUACGAUUUCCCUGCUCUUUCUGUGGACUGUGUGGCUUGAAGCUAAGUGGUAACAGAAUCAGCAAGAUUGGUGUGAUGUCCAGCUCACCUGGACAAAAAUCAGUGAUGGCAAUGACUGGACCGUUAGCGAGGGAUGUGGAGAGCCUGGCUCUGUGUAUGAGAGCGCUACUCUGUGAAGAAAUGUUCCGACUGGACCCAACCGUCCCCCCAAUUCCCUUCAAUGAGGAGGUAUAUUCAAGUUCCAAGCCUCUUUGCAUUGGAUAUUAUUACACUGAUGGUUUCACAAUGGCAACACCUUCUAUGCAACGCGCAGUGAUGGAGACCAAGGAGCUACUGGAGAAGGCGGGUCACAAGCUGGUGCCCUUUGCUCCCCCAUCGAUAGAAAAGGCUAUUAUUGAGCUGGCAAUGAAGGGAAUCCUGGCAGAUUCAGCCUCAACCUUCCUGGAUAACUUCAAACAUGACCUGGUGGAUCCAAAUUUGAAAUCCCAGAUUAAUAUGUAUUUGCUUCCAAAUUGGCUUAAGAGUUUACUGUCCAUGAUUGUGAAGCCAGUGUAUCCGAGGGUAGCAAAACUUGUGAAGAAUUUAACUGGAGUAAGGUCUGUUAAAGCCCUUUGGAAGCACUAUCAAGAUGUAGAGGUGCUGUAUCUUACACAAUCCUGUACAAUUUAGUGGACUUUCCUGCAGGGGUAUUGCCAGUUACCACUGUCACAAAGGAGGACGAGGAAGCCCUGAAAUCGUACAAAGGUCACUAUAAGGAUCCCUGGGACAAACUGUUAAAGGAGGCCAUGACAGACAGCGUGGGCCUUCCAGUUGCUGUGCAAUGUGUAGCCUUACCGUGGCAGGAAGAGCUGUGUCUGCGCUUUAUGAAGGAAAUAGAGACCCUCAGACAGAGGAAGAGAGAAUAACUGGAGAUAAAAU